GUUCUCAAUCAAUUAUUUCUCUAAAUAAUAUUUAAUAUUUAAUUUAGCUCCAGAUUUUAUUUCAGUAGGCGAUGGGCAUCCACUAAAAGUUUCGGUUAAGUCAAACCACUAACAUGAACCUACUCAGUGAUUCUAACCAAUGAGUGAUUAGAUCCGAGGAUGGCUCGAUCAACCCAAUGAUCAUCAGAUAGUUUAACAGAGUCAUCAUAUGAUAAAUACUAAUUCCAUCAUUCAGAAUAAACAUC
rnacentral:lncRNA from 1 species